ACAGCAAAAUAAUAUUUGAUGGUUCAAAGUAAAAACAUGUCAAAACUGAAACCAUUCAUUCAUUUCUGAAACGUUCGAACAUCUUCAUUAUGCCAACAUCUAAAGGUGGAAUGAUCACUGUUAUAAAAGAUGAAACAGCAAGAGGAGAGCAAACAGAAGUUUAUUAACAUGUACAUUUCAUAUACAUGGAUAUAUCCUGGGAAUGAGAAGUUAUCAAAGAGGUUGCCUUGAGUUCUGGCUUGUAUAGCAUCUUCAACAAAGCACAAUACACUUUAAAGAACUGACAAGACAAAGAAAAAGGACUAUGGAUCUCUGGGGUUUGCAACUUGUGGGAAGCCAAACAAAGGGCAGAUAAAGGCUACUAAAUAAUGCUUGUUAAUACAGAUUCCUCCAGGCCAAUAAGCCUCACAAAUUGUCUUCACUGGUUAACUUGUUUUUCCUGGAAUAAAGUUGGAGGGAUACCUUUAGCCUUUAUAAAUCCAUGUCCUCUCCAUCUGUUUCAAGCAAAUAGAGUGAGAAUAGAGAGCAUUUCUGCAUCUGCUCCUUAGUUGUUCAGUCAAAACCUUUCAUACUUUGGGACAUCAUAUUCUGGCCCUUCACAAGACAAUAAUUCUCUUCUUUCAAUUAAAAAAACUGUUGACAGGCCCUAAGUUCCUUGUUUAAAAAUUUUAUGCUAGUGUAAAUCCAAAGUUUCAAAGGUAAAAGAUGAGAACUGUAGUUCCAUUACUAUAGUGAUUGCUAUGUAUUCUCCAGCCAUUAACAACAGCAUGUGUGAUCACUGAUCAUAAAUACUGGCUGAUUUCAUAACUUGGAUAGUAAAUGUUAUAAUUAUAUGUUGUAAUCCACAUUGUACAACUGAGAAUCAUAGCCCAGCCCACAGCUUUAUUGCAACAUUCUCAUUAAUGCCUUAUUUAUUUGGGAUCUAUCAAAAAAUUCCUCUGAGUACCUAUCAUGAUAUUUUUAAUUAUACUCUUUAUAUCUCUUUGAAAUGUUUUGGACCUGUCUUAUGUGUUUUGAUGUUCAUGGUGCCCUGAAAUCACAAAAUACAAGCCACAGUUACAUCACCAAAACAUUGAAAUGGCUUUGAUUAUUAUGUAUAUAAAAUAAUUUUCUUCAUUUGCAUAUAUCUAUUCAGGGAUUAUGUCUAAUGCUGAAAAGGAAGUAUUUUCCAAAUUCAGAGAUAAGUGCACUCCUAUGUAUUAAAUUGACUUAUUUAAUUGACUUCUCCAAUUCUGUACUGUUGUGUAUAUUUAUUUAACUUGCCUAUUGCUUUCAGUAUAAUAGCCAUUAAUAUAAUGCCACAUUUCCUACAGAGACAAUGUUAUUUUAUGCAUAAAGAAAAAUGUUAAAGUAUAAGAAUGUUUUCAUUUCAAGGAGACCAUUUCAUUUAUAAGGAUAAGAAUGCACAAUACUUCAUUUAAUUCAUUGCUUUUUUCACAUUAGCAGUUCAAUAAAGAUAUUUGUUGAAUAAUGUUAAGCAUUAAUUUUAAUGUGAUAAAAUUAUAUAUUUAUGUUUACUGAGUAUAACUUUGGGGGCAUAUUUAGGGGUUCAAAUUCCACUUCUUAGUAAUUGGUUAAAGAAUUGAUUUAAAAUUUCCAUAGUUGAUAGUGAUUCUAUCCUUUAGAUACUAUAUUCAUUCUUAUUUCACUAGUCAGUAGUAUAUUGGCACUUUGAUUUUAAAAACAAAACAAUUGCUUUGGUUCAUCAGCUUUCUAUUUUGCCUCUGGUAGUGUAAUGUUCAAUGGCUUUUGUUGGCUUAUUGCACUUUAAUUAGCACGAUACUGUGUGCCUUUAGUAGCGUGCUGCUGUGCUACUCUUAAUUGAAAUCUAUCUCUUGUGUCUGUGAUCAUUAUGUCACCUUGAUGCUUGAAACUGCUGUUCCCAUGGAGCAUAUGGUAAUGUUGCAUUAGCCCUUUUAAGUUAGGGAGCUUGAUUAGCAGGAUCAGAUGAGCUACUGGAAGAUGCCUGGCUCCUAUAGCUCUCAUAUCUUCAAAUGAAUUUUACAAACUAUCUGCUUACUUUAGUAUGAUAAAUAUGUAAAUACAUAUGUUUAUAGUAUUAAGUGAAAUUUUACAAUGGAAAAUUAUGUUGGAUAAAAAAUAUUGUUUCUCAGUUUGAAUUCAAUGGGAAAUUUUAAAAACAAUGAUAAAGAAAUCACCUUUCCUAUCUAUCUUUUAACUCUAGAAUAGUUGUACAAUGUAUUGUAAGAGAUUUUUUUUAUUGUAAAGGUUUUUUUCCUUUGCAGAUUUUCUCUGCUCUUUUUCUAACACACUGUUUCACAUUAUUUUUAGUGGUUUUUCUCAGAAUGCUUCUGUAGAGUGAUCAAGUUAAACAAUUCUUAUGAUUAUAUCAAAAGGAAAAUAAUCCAAGUUGGAGAACACAUUUUAAAGAACACGAGGGAUCUCUUAGUCAAAACUAAAUCCAGUCUUUCAGAAGGAAAGUUUAAACUGCCCUACAUUAUUUUAAAGAUCUCAUGUGCAAAAUAAUCAUGAACCAGACCUGCGGGUUUAAAUACAGCUUGCCACAUAAGAAUUAGAUUACUAAGAAACAGAUUGAUGGAAGAGGAUCUUCAAAGAUGUGGACAAAAUACUGGCAGCAAGAAGGAAAAGAAUGAUGCUGGCAAAUAGUUUCCUCUUCAACAAAAUUUAGAAUGGUCAACACAUACGAUCCAGUGCAUUCUGAAGAACCUAAGUUUGUCAGGAAAUAGCUGGGCCAUUCUGAUGGCCCACAGGCUCCCAGUAGGUUCAGAAGGUCUGGCCCUGCAGGACUUUAGAUGGUGCUUGGGGCUGCACUCAAGAGUAGGAGUUUCAGAAGGAAAACAUGUAAUAAAAAAAGGCUAAAUGUAAAUAUACUUACCGCUAAAUGUAUUGAUCUUUGAUUGAUAUAUUCAUAGGUAAUUUUUCUGUUGUUUAUGAUAAUCUGUAUUAUGCAAAUUUUCUACAAUGGACAGGCAUAUUCUAGUCAUAUUUUUCUUUAUUUGAGAAGUUACCAUAAAAAAGAGUGACCCUUUGAGGAACAGCUCCUGCAUUUCACAGAUCUGUCCUUGUAAUUAGGACUUGUGUGGUAUAUAAACAAAAUACAAAUACUUGCUAAAGUGUUAGUUUCAAAUUUCAAAUAUGUGAUGUUAGUUAAAAAUGUAUUAUUCAAAUUAAAUCUUAUGUUCCAGUUAAGUUCUUUUAUUGUAUGGGAAACAAUAUUGUAUAAUUUACCUGUCAUGUGUAUAAUGCAAUGGAUAAUUUGUGAAGAUUUUAACCCUUUGAGGUUUAUCCUUUUUAGCAAUGAUAGAAAAGAUAUGGGUAUGUUAAACAGAGUGAGAUAUAUAUAUUUUGGCAUCUUAUCUGAAUGAAAUAUCUAUUACAUCUUUUAAAGCUGCAUACAUUUCUUUAUAAAAUUAAAGACAUAAUGUGUGUACAUAUAAUCUUUAUAACCAAGUAUAUUUGUAGGAAAAAAAUUGGCUACUGGUUCUACACGUGACAGCACAAUCAUGAUACAUAUUUAUUAGUUUGGUAAGUGAAUAUAAUAAAAUUAAAAUUUUAUACAAUAAUAUUUGGAGGUUUGUUUCUUAGAAAUGAAUAUUCUGACCAGGCGGAUAUACUAAAAUUAAAAUAUAAUCUAGAAAGACAUAAAAAGUUGUUCAAAGCAGAUA